rnacentral:rRNA from 1 species
AUUGAACGCUGGCGGCAGGCCUAACACAUGCAAGUCGAGCGGAGCGGCCGACGGAUGUGUAAUUCCUAUGUAUCUGCCUGGUCGUUGGGGAUAACUUCCGGCUACGGGCGCUACUUCCUCCUACUCUCCGUUGACCCUAGUGCGGAGUUGCUAGUUGGUGGGGUAAGGGCCUACCAAGGCGACGAUCCGUAACUGGUCUGAGAGGAGGAUCAGUCACACUGGAACUGAGACACGGUCCAGACUCCUACGGGAGGCAGCAGUGGGGAAUAUUGGACAAUGGGCGAAAGCCUGAUCCAGCCAUGCCGCGUGUGUGAAGAAGGUCUUCGGAUUGUAAAGGACUUUAAGUUGGGAGGCGUUAACAACAGAAGAAGGACAGGCUAACUUCGUGCCAGCAGCCGCGGUAAUUG